rnacentral:rRNA from 1 species
UGGGGAAUAUUGCACAAUGGGCGAAAGCCUGAUGCAGCGACGCCGCGUGAGGGAUGACGGCCUUCGGGUUGUAAACCUCUUUCAGUAGGGAACAAGGCCGGCUUUUGGUUGGUUGAGGGUACUUGCAGAAGAAGCGCCGGCUAACUACGU